GGAUGUGUAGGCGGAUAUUUAAGUGAGAUGUGAAAUCCCCGGGCUUAACUUGGGGGCUGCAUUUCAAACUGGAUGUCUAGAGUGCAGGAGAGGAAAGCAGAAUUCCUAGUGUAGCGGUGAAAUGCGUAGAGAUUAGGAAGAAUACCAGUGGCGAAGGCGGCUUUCUGGACUGUAACUGACGCUGAGGCAUGAAAGCGUGGGGAGCAAACAGGAUUAGAUACCCUGGUAGUCAUGCCGUAAACGAUGAUUACUAGGUGUGGGGGGUCUGACCCCCUCCGUGCCGGAGUUAACACAAUAAGUAAUCCACCUGGGAAGUACGACCGCAAGGUUGAAACUCAAAGGAAUUGACGGGGGCCCGCACAAGCAGUGGAGUAUGUGGUUUAAUUCGAAGCAACGCGAAGAACCUUACCAGGUCUUGACAUCCAACUAAUCCUGUAGAGAUACGGGAGUGCCCUUCGGGGAAAGUUGAGACAGGUGGUGCAUGGUUGUCGUCAGCUCGUGUCGUGAGAUGUUGGGUUAAGUCCCGCAACGAGCGCAACCCUUGUGAUUAGUUGCUACGCAAGAGCACUCUAAUCAGACUGCCGUUGACAAAACGGAGGAAGGUGGGGACGACGUCAAAUCAUCAUGCCCCUUAUGAUCUGGGCUACACACGUACUACAAUGGGCCAUCAACAGAGGGAAGCAAAACCGCGAGGCAGAGCAAACCCCUAAAAAUGGUCUCAGUUCGGAUCGCAUGCUGA
rnacentral:rRNA from 1 species